rnacentral:rRNA from 1 species
UACGGAGGGUGCAAGCGUUAUCCGGAUUCACUGGGUUUAAAGGGUGCGUAGGUGGGCAGGUAAGUCAGUGGUGAAAUCUCCGGGCUUAACCCGGAAACUGCCAUUGAUACUAUCAGUCUUGAAUACCGUGGAGGUAAGCGGAAUAUGUCAUGUAGCGGUGAAAUGCUUAGAUAUGACAUAGAACACCAAUUGCGAAGGCAGCUUACUACCCGAAUAUUGACACUGAGGCACGAAAGCGUGGGGAUCAAACAG